UGGGGAAUUUUGCACAAUGGGGGAAACCCUGAUGCAGCGACGCCGCGUGAUUUAGAAGGCCUUCGGGUUGUAAAAAUCUUUUUUACGGGAUGAAAAUGACAGUACCGUAAGAAUAAGGUCCGGCUAAAUACGUGCCAGCAGCCGCGGUAAUACGUAUGGACCGAGCGUUGUCCGGAAUCGUUGGGCGUAAAGGGUACGUAGGCGGCCUAGUAAGUUAGAAGUGAAAUAAUAUAGCUCAACUAUAUAAAGCUUUUAAAACUGCUAGGCUUGAGAGAUGGAAGGGAAAGUGGAAUUCCUAGUGUAGCGGUGAAAUGCGCAGAUAUUAGGAAGAAUACCGGUGGCGAAGGCGACUUUCUGGUCAUCAUCUGACGCUGAGGUACGAAAGCGUGGGUAGCAAACAGG
rnacentral:rRNA from 1 species